ACUAAGUUUGUUCUGGGUAUAAGCUUUCAUGUGCAUGUACACUUCUGAAGAACUGUGCAUGCACACGAAAGCUUAUACCCAGAACAAACUUAGU